rnacentral:rRNA from 1 species
ACGGGGCCCGCACAAGCGGUGAGCAUGUGGUUUAAUUCGAAGCAACGUCGAAGAAACCCUUACCUAGGUCUUGACAUCCCGAUGCUAUUUCUAGAGAUAGAAAGUUACUUCGGUACAUCGGUGACAGGUGGUGCAUGGUUGUCGUCAGCUCGUGUCGUGAGAUGUUGGGUUAAGUCCCGCAACGAGCGCAACCCCUAUUGUUAGUUGCCAUCAUUCAGUUGGGCACUCUAGCGAGACUGCCGGUAAUAAACCGGAGGAAGGUGGGAUGACGUCAAAUCAUCAUGCCCCUUAUGACCUGGGCUACACACGUGCUACAAUGGUUGGUACAACGAGUUGCGAGUCGGUGACGGCGAGCUAAUCUCUUAAAGCCAAUCUCAGUUCGGAUUGUAGGCUGCAGCUCGCCUACAUGAAGUCGGAAUCGCUAGUAAUCGCGGAUCAGCACGCCGCGGUGAAUACGUUCCCGGGCCUU